rnacentral:rRNA from 1 species
UACGAAGGGUGCAAGCGUUGUUCGGAAUUACUGGGCGUAAAGGGUUCGUAGGCUGGAAUUUAAGUCAAGUGUGAAAUCCCCGAGCUUAACUUGGGACGUGCAUUUGAAACUGGAUUUCUUGAGUAUCGGAGAGGGUGGUGGAAUUGUUGGUGUAGGAGUGACAUCCGUAGAGAUCAGCAGGAACAUCAGAUGCGAAAGCGACCGCCUGGCCGAUUACUGACGCUGAGGAACGAAAGCGUGGGGAGCAAACAGG